rnacentral:tRNA from 1 species
GAGGUUGUGGCUCAGUGGUAGAACACUUGCGUAGCAUGUGUGAGGCACUGAGUUCGAACCUCAGCACCACA